UUUAUUUUAUUGUAUUAUACUUCUACUGCAGUACUAUCACUCCCUAUUGUAUUGUGCUAGUACUUCAGCACUUUCAGUCCAUAUUGUAUUUUACUAGUACUUCAGUACUAUCAGUCCCUAUUGUAUUUUACUAGCACUUCAGUACUAUCAGUCCCUAUUGUAUUAUGCUAGUACUUCAGCACUAUCAGUCCAUAUUGUAUUUUACUAGUACUUCAGUACUAUCAGUCCCUAUUGUAUUUUACUAGUACUUCAGUACUAUCAGUCCCUAUUGUAUUAUACUAGUACUUCAGAACUAUAAGGGUGGUACUGAGAGUGCUCUGUGUGUGAAGGUGCUCACUCUUGUGUGAAGGAGGUUUUCUUCACCAGAAUUAAUCACUGUGUUGGACUUUUGAAAGCGGUGCAAAAUUGGUCCUGAAAAGUUCACCAGAGUAACCAGACUGGUCCCUCUGGUAGGUCCAGUGUCUCUGUUCCCCCCGUCCUCUGAGCAGCUCUCUUGGGGCUCGGCCACACUGGACUGCCUGCUGAGUGGCUACUCCCCCCAGGAGGCGAUGGUGAGCUGGGGGUGAGCUGGGAGCUGGACAGGGCGGAGGUGAAGGAGGGGUCCUGACCACCACAGAAGAAGAGAAGGGUGGUCGCUACAGCCGUAGCAGCACCCUGACCCUGAGCAAGGCACGCUGGGAAGAGGGAGAGAUGUACACCUGCAGGGUCGACCAUGACGACACCAGUUAUUCGGCUGCCUUCCGGAGAAGUCAUUGUAGUGUCUGGGGACUGGAGAGGCAAUUGUAGGGGGCAAGAGAGUCCCCACAUGGUGCUAGUUCUGGAAACAAUGUUUUAGAGUUGAAUGUUAUAGUAUAAUAGUGAAUAAUAUCAGUAGCGCUGUGUGAUAAAUGAACUAUUUUGAGAUUAAGUUGUUCAUGUCAUCUAGUUCAAAUAAAGCUUUUUUUAUUUAGAAAAUACCCCAAAUAAUUACUAUAAUCAUGAUUCCAGUGAUCAAUAUCUCAUGAAUAUGCAGCACAUUUCAUAGUAAUUUACAUCAAUCAGCUUCUUUUAUAAUUUCCGCAUUGAAGCAAAUAUCUACUCAUGUUUUAAACAGAAUGAAAACGGCAUCCUAUCCAACAAAGACUCUACAAUCAUUUCUACUACUGAAUGACCCUGUUAUACUGUAGCUCCAAUACCAGUGAUGAUAAUUAGUGACAUUUGAUAAUAAACCUUUGAGAUCUGCUGUCAGAACUCACACUGUUAAACAGU